AAGAAAUUAGUUAAAUUAAAAUAACAUUAAUAUGUCAAAUUAAAAUUAUCAAAAGGUAUUUCUUU
rnacentral:tRNA from 1 species